UGUCCGCGCCCAGGAUUUGAACCCGUGAAACCCUGGGCCGCUGAAGCGGAGCACGCCAACUUAACUGCUCUGCCGCGGAGCUGGCCCCAUGAUCUUCAUUUUUGAUAGAUGAAAAGUGAAGCUCAGGAAGGCUGCGGGCGUCCCCUCGUUAGGCAGUGAUGUUGGCGCAUCUCACUCCAAAGCCUUCGAGCAGUUCUUGCUGAGUGCGCACUUGUGGCCAUUGCUGAAGAAGUUGCCUGCAUCUCUUGUGUUAGGACAGGGGACCGAGACACCUGUUUAUACCACACCUUGAGGACGAGAGGAUGGUAUGGCUUCCUGAGUUUGGUUCCUCAUCUGUAAAAUUGGGCUUGUGUUCGGACUCGCUUCCUACAGUCACAGUAGAAAAUCAGUUACCUAAAGCACGUAAGCAUGGGGCAGGGUGCUGUGGCAGCUCUGAGUAUCAUCUGUGAUAAAGGGCUUCACUUUCACAGAUAUUGAAUACCUUCACUAAGUCAGAAGAACUUUUCUCUACCCCUAGUAUAAUCUGGAGAACUUUUUGGAAUUUUGGGUUUGUUUGAUUUUUGCAUUGCAAAUAUCCCUCUCUUCCCCUUCCUAAAAAUUGAUGCUUUCAUUUUUUCUUGUUGUUAACUAGUAUUGCAGAUAUUUAAGUGGAGUAAAAUGCCUUGGGCUGAUGCAAAAAGAGUACACUCUGCUCUCGCGUCCAUGUCUGUGGGCAAUGGUAACUGACCCAGUGCUUGUGGGGAGCUCCCAUGCAUGGAGCCGGUAACCGACCUGUCUUUCCCUGGGGCCCCACCCUGACCUCUGUGCUAGCACUGUCAUUUGAUGCUUGUCUUGUCCCUUCCUGAAAACAGCAUUGACUCACUUCUCCAGCCUCCCCUAGCACCGGGCAGCAGCUCCUGUCUGAUUCCCAUCGCCUCCUCUGGAUGGAGGGCUCAUCCUCAUCUUGCCAGAUCAGCUGCAGGCUGGGUGUGCCUCAGCUCCCUCUGAGGAAAGUGGAGUUUCAAGCUCAGUAGCUGGGAGAGUGGGCGGAGGAAGGGAGGGUCCGUCCAGCCGAGAAAGGGCUGACCUGACAGUAGGGGGGUGUGUCCACUUUGGGGGAGGAGUGUUAGUGGAUUUGAAACAAAUUGAUUCCUGGCUAAACAUAUUCCCAGGCUGUCACAUCCUCUCACAACAAAAUUAAUUAAAAUGGUCUUGGAAUGAAAGUGGAUGAGGCUACUGUUGCUAUAACCCGCUUUUAUUAUGAAGCCCACCACUGGGGUUGGGGUGAAGCAGGUUUAAAAUCCUAGGCAUGCAGUCGACCCUUCAUCCAUACAGUCUCUCCUCCAGGAUCACCACAAGGCGGGUUGGGGUUCUCAGAAUUGUCUCCCCAAACCCUGAAGCAGGUUCAGAUCCCUCACCUUAACCCGGAGAGACAGAGAAACAAUUCCUGAGAAUCUGCUGAGAAACAGCUGCUCGAGGACCUGUGCUGAAUUUGCUCACCCUGGGUACGACCCAGCCAUCUCCCUGUCCUGAACACCCACCUCCUUGAUCAGGGCAGAACCAGAGUCGCUAGGAGGAUGGUGUGAGACGCCUCAUUUGUUCACAGAUACUCCUGGAUCCACCCCAUGUUCAAGGUUCUGCAACAGUGGGCCAGACAGACCACUGCUGCCCUCCCGGACUUUCCAGUCCAGUCACGACAACGGAAGGUAAAUAAGGAAUGCAUAAAUAACAAACAUUUAUUGAGCUCUUGCUGUGUGCUGUGCACUGUGCUAAGCACGUUUCAAAUAUUUCCUUUAUUUAAUCCUUAUAACAACGUGAUGGGGUAGCUACUAUUGUCCCCAUUUUACACAUGAGGAAACUGAGCCUCAGGGGGGUUACAUCGCUGGGCACAAGUGUGGUUAUGGCGGAGCCCCAGCUUGGAUGCAUGUAGUGUGAUUCAGUCUGCAGUCGUCACUCUGCUGCUGCCAAGAUGGAGGGUGACUGCUGGGUGCCCCGGGAGCAGACACGGGUGUGAAGGCACUCUGAGAACUGCGGUCCGUAUUCUGUUGGUUAGAAGUAAGUCAUGGGUCCCACCCAUGCUCAAGGGGAGGGGACUACACGAGGGUGUGAACACCACGAGGCCACCAUCACAGAGACCACCGGAGGGUCUGUCCACCACAGUCUCUAAUUCUAUCUGUGGGUCUUUUGUCCUUAUGGUUUGGUAUCAUGUCAGCAAUUUACAACUUAAAAAAAAAGUUAGGACACGAGCAGCAUUUCUUAGAUUUUUUCCUGACCCCCCCUGGAUUUCGAGCACCCGCCCUCCAGGGAAUUAAUACAGUCCUGGCUGUUUCCAUGGUUAAAUGGUCCUAGGAAUUUUAUGAAAGAGAAAUGGAGCCACAGGACCUUGAGGAGGAGGAAUCAGCAGAGAGAGAACAGAGAGUCCAGUGAAGAAUUCAGACAUUUAAUCAAAACUUUAAAAUUCGUCCAUUCAUUUCUUUCUUUCUUUAUUCAUUCAUUCCUGUGUUCACAUGUCCAGCACAUUUUGGUGAGUCUUUCUGUGUUUUGUGUCCAGUGCAGUUUUGGCCACUGACACAGACGUGGCCAUGUCCUUCCACCACAUCCAGGGCAGAGUUAACAGAGAGGAGAGGGUGGGACACCCUCUGCCUGGGACAUGUUGGGCGGCUUCACUCCUCGUGCGUAGGGGACCACCCUGGAGUUCACUGCAGGGACAGGCAGACAAAGGGAACAGUAUAGUUUUUAAAACAGAGUAAACACAAUUUACCUUUUCCUGCUGAGCCAGAAUAUCACUUUGAACAUUCGCGGCUGGGCUGUGUAGCGUGGAACAACCGCCUGAAGGCCCCAGGCUCAGAGCACAAGGCUUUUUAGUGUUGGCGAGUGUGUUUCAUAGCAUUUCCAUUUCUUCUAUUGUUCUCUGCCCCUCACUUGUCUCUGCUUGGUUUUCUCGGUGAAUUUCACUUCAUCAGACCUUUUCCUCCUGUCUGAGUUGCUGCUUGUAAAUUACUGUGGAGUCAGAAACCCCCAUCCCUAUAUCCAGGUUAGCAUUGUGUGUCAGGUGCGAGUUAAUAAGCGGAUCUCAAGGGCAAGCCAGCCCCCACCCCAGUAUCAGAAUAAGGAAGUGGGUGUCAUUUGAAAACAAAGCAUUACUUUGAUUCAUUGCUUUUGUUUAAUAUUAGUCAUUCAUUUACUUGAUUUUGAAUUUCAGCUAACUGUAACGUUAGGGUGACUCUGUUUAUUCAAGGAGAAUAUUGGUUAACAGAUGUGAGACUAACAGUACAUGAACACAGUAUUGGGGAUGUCCAUUUAAAAAGCAAAUUCGUCUGUUAUUUUACCCUCGAAAUGAGUUUAUUUGGGAAUAGCUGAAAGAAUUGCAAUUCUGGAUGUGCGUGCUGUGGGAAAUCAUAAGCAAAUCCAAAAAACAAAGGAGGGGAGCUGCUUUUAUAGAGAAAAAGGAGGAGCAGGGAGGCACUGUUCUCAAGAAAGUCCAUUGGGGCAAAGUAACAGUUCAGGGUGGCAACGGCUUCUCAUUGGCUGAGCUGCAGCAUUUCUCAUUGGCUGAGCUGCGGCGUUUCUCAUUGGCUGAGCUGCGGUGUUUCUCAUUGGCUGAGCUGUGGUGUUUCUCAUUGGCUGAGCUGUGGUGUUUCUCAUUGGCUGAGCUGCGGUGUUUCUCAUUGGCUGAGCUGUGGUGUUUCUCAUUGGCUGGGCCGUUCCCAGGUAGGGAGAGAAAUCUUGCAGUAGGAAAGUAGGAUUACUUUCUGUGAAAGAUGCAAGCAUCUGUCUCUUCCUGUUUGGGGUAAUUGUCGAUGUGUGAUAGGGUGUGAGGGCUCCCCCUGCAGGCCUUCUUGGCUCCAGUUUAGUUAAGGUUUCCUUCAUUAAUUUCUGCAGGGCUAACAAUACUUCUGAGGAAGGACAGGAACUUGGUCACAGGAGUUUGGGCUGCUCAGAGCCUCAUUCUUACUCCUCUCUCCCCCGGCCCCCCAAAUCCAUACCCUCCUCCUUCCCCUCCUGCUGCAGUUUAAGGAGUUAAUUGAUGACUCCAGGAGAGUGUUGGUUUCCUGUGGCUGCUUUAACAAAUUACCACAAACUGGGUGGCUUGAAACAACAGAAAUUUCUUCCCUCUGCGUUCUGGAGGCCGGCAGGGCUGCAGUCGCCCUUGAGACUCAGGGGAACGAUCCUCUCUGGCCUCUUCCAGGUGCUGGUGGCUGCCCUGGCAUUCCUGGGCUUGUGGCUGCAUCACUCCAGUCUCUGUCUUCCUGUCACCUUCUCUGUGUCUGUGUCUUCUGCCUCUUAAAUCUCCUUCUGCCUCAGUUUGUAAGGACACUUGUCAUUGGAUUUAUAGAGUCCACCCAGAUUAUCCAGGAUGAUCUCCUUAUCUCAGGAUCCUUAGUUAGUCACACCUGCAAAGACUUUUUUUUCCAAAUGUGGUCCCACUCACAGGUUCCAGGGACUUGACGUGGAUAUCUUUUGGUGGUCUGUUUGUCAGCCUACUAUGUGAGGGAUGCAGCUAAAGGGUUUAGAAAGUACCUGGUGUAUAACGGAGCCACUUGAUAUUGCUGCCACUGCCGCUGCUGUAUUCCUCACUCUUUUACUCAUUCACUGAGUGUCUGGGUAUCUGCCCUGGCCCCCCACCACACUGGGUGCCAAGGAUACAAAAGUGAAGUGAGGCAUGGCCAUGCCCUCGAGGGGGCACCAGCCGUGUUUCCAGAUGUCUGAGGUCUACUUUGAGCACAUGCACACAGUUGACUUACCUGGCUGAGUCUGUGCGCCUGCCCACCCUUCACGGUGUUGUUGCUUUGGGGCAUGGUAUUCCUAGUUCCAAGCACCCAAUGUACAAAUAAACUUAUGAAAAGUCCAAAUCACUAACUUACAAAUUAGAUGUGCUCAAAGGCAGUCUAAAGUGAAAGCAUAAUUCCUUAUGUUUAUAGUUUUUAAAACACUGCUGCCUCACCUGUGUUGUGCAUUGUCUUGUACAGAUGAUACACCUUUGGCUCAGCCAGAUCAUUAAGCUAGUGAAGCACGGGAACCUGGGUCCCUGAUUCUGAGCGUAGGCUGGCCAGCAGCCCUGCCUGUCUUCCUUCUCCCUGCAGUCCUUGCUCCUUCAACACACCUUCAUUAGUGUCUGCUGUGUCCUAUCUACUGUGCUAACCCCUGAGAGUGCAAACAGAAACUUGCCCUGAGCGUGUGCGGGGGGACACCAACAAUACACUAAUAGGGCAGUACUUGGGGUGCGCUGUGCUUCCCCAGGAGGGGAGUGCUGACCGAGGCAGAAGGAGGAGUAGGGUUUGGGAAAGCUGGCAGGGAGGGUGCUCAAGGCAGAGACUGGCCUCAUAGGGGCAGGAGAGCCAGCAUCCGAGUGAGGAGAAGGCCCUGGUCUGUGAUCUUGGGAAAUCUCCUCUUACGCUGCCACCCCCACCCAGCCUCCUUCAGUGAGCUGGUUUGUGGUCAGAAUUUAAAAAUUAGAGCUUCUUUUGGCUUAGCCAGGUAGCAAAUUUACUCUACACUCAGAUGCAGAGUCCCCUGAACGGGACGAGGCUCCUGCUCGGCCAGCCGCUUCACGUAGCAGGGUGUCUGGCGUUCUUCAAGGACAGGUUUUCUCAGUGAACCAGGGGUCAGGCAGGUCUGAGGAUGAUGAAUACUUGAGGUAUGGGUGGAGAGUGGCCAUCAGUAUGUGGGGACAGAAGCAGGGGGGACAGCACUUGGGGGUCCACAAACAUCCCUCCUUUAGAAUUUCUCUCACCAGCCUCGAGCUAUCUGACCAUAUUUGGACGCUGGGUCCUGGUGCUCUUCCUUGGAAACAGACUCGAGGCUUGAGCCUUCCCUUCGAAGAGCAGGAAGUAGGUUCCUCCAUUAAUUUACUGCCUGGUGCAGUGAAUUCGUAUCUGCUUGGCUUCUGACUCUCUUCCCUCCUGCAUCCCAGCUCACCAGUUAACCCCCAGAGCCGGCAGCCUUCACAGAGUGCCAGGACCCCAGACUGCGGCUCAGGGAGCUGUGGCAGCAAAGUGACUUCUCCAUCUGGCCCACUGGGAAUAUUGCUUUUGUUUGCCUUUGUUCCUGUAUGUUCUUAAGCUAAAGACACACACACACAAACUUUAGAUUAUUAUUUUGAAUAUUAUUUUAUCAACUUACCUAUUUUUCUUUACAUUUGACAGGGUAUACUAUAUUGUUAAAAUGUGAUGUUGUCAUGGCCAGACGUUGCAUUUCUAGUCUUGCUCUUGAUGUUAUUGGGGAAGUCGAUGCCCUGAGGAAUGUCAGAGCAUGCGAGUUGUCCUGUUGGGUCAGCCCUGUCUGCCCAGCUCCGCCCUGUCUCUGGAUGUCUGAGUGCCUCUUGCAGGAGGGGGAACCUGGGAAAGUGGAAGGUCUUGGGGACACCCGUGAGAGUUACUCACCAGGCUGUAGGGAACAGAGCUGGCAGAGGGGAGCCCAGAACUCUCAGGGUAGAGAGAAGUGAGAGAUUGAGCAGUAGCAACAAUGCUAAGCCUCAGGCCUGAGGCUGAGGCAAGACUGGCAAUGGAAAACCAGAGCUCAGGUUCGAGGGUAGGGAAGUGGGGUGCGAUGGAGGUAGGCAUGGGCGGCUCAAGGAGGCUGUGCCUUUUUGGAACUGAGAGCAGGUGGGGUGGUGAGAAGGCACCAAGCUUAAAGGUGGGGAUGGGGGACAAAGCCUUUUAGCUGUCCAUAACGUUCUUCCUCGUCGCAAACCUCAGGGUGAGCGAUGGAUCCACAACCUUGUCUUGGUCUGAGGGGACCAUCGGUGGCGACAGGCUACCUACUCGGGGUGCUGGAGGAGAUGUGGGGUGUCAGGCCUGCUGCCUCCCUUCUCCCUGGGCUCCUGGCGGCUUGUUUUUCUCAUUUCCUGAGAUAGCUGGAGGGAGAUGCUCGUUCAGCACCGGGCGCUCUCUCAUCGCCUCUGCCUUUUCUCUUCGGCCUUCGCAGAGUCUCACUUGGGGCAGUUUCUGGGGUCUGGUGACCUGGCUCAGCAGCCGGUGCAAGACUGCAGUGGAGAGCAUGUAUUCCCAGGAGACUGGGCGUGGAUACGACAUAUUCUGCCCUCAUGGUUUUUGGUUUUUAAUAUUCUUUUAAAAUUAUAAAAUUCAUAAUAAUGUUCAUAAAAAAUGACAGUCCCGAGGUAGAUGAAGUUAAUGGGUUGGGCCCGUUUCUGGCCUGCCUCUCCCCGCAACUCCCAACUCCCCAAAGGCAGCCACUGUCCUCCCUGGUUGUGUGUCCUUCCCAUCCACUCAGCUCUUGGGGGUGGUUUUUGUUAACUGUUUGCUGAGCCUUGUGGCAGACCAGAAUACACUCCAGGAGUCUGAUGUGCUCCUUAUAAUUCCGGAGCCUUGGUCUCUGCGAGACUCACAUCCAGACCCUCAAUGGCAGGGGCCUGGAGCUAAGAGCUAGGGUGACCCCAGAUGCUGCUGCCUUCCACUCAGUUCUGGCCCCUGGGGGCUCACCAGGCUGCGGAUCCUGUUACUCAAGUGCCCCCCACACUCAGCUUGUCUCUGGAGGUCCGGAGUGGGGUCCAGCCACUCUCAGCUCGGGGGUCUUGGUCAGCUCUCAGCUUCCCCCUGUGCUGUGCCUUCAUGUGAUACGAAGGUGGACACUUCCCCUCUCUCCCUUCCCUAUCCCCCCGCGCACUUGGCCAUGUGGCUUCUGCAUGUUCCGCUGGCCUGGCAGGUCAGGAACGCAGAAAGACGGCUUCGCCGGCCCAGGCUCUUAUUUAUUCAGGCGAGAGAAAGUAUGCGAAAGGUCCUUGAUGCCUGUGCAGCAUGUGCCACAGGGAGGUGGUCUGCUCUGACAAGGUUCACAUAGCUUUCCAUAGCGUCACUGUGAGCUCCUCAGAGCUGAACAGCAGGGGUCUAAGUUCUGAGGACCGGAACACUUGGCCAAGGGCGAGUAGAGUCCUGGGGCAGCCAGGCAGCUCAUCCAAGCUGGGGUCCCUUCCCAGAGGUCCCGCCAAAAGUACCGACCCCGUGAUCGCCUGGCCUCGCUGCAGGUAGGAGGUGUCCCCACCAGUGGCCCUCUGGGCUGAGGGACAUGUCUGUCCAGUGACUGAAGGUAACCAUUUGCCCAGGACUUUUAAAGAGGAGAGAAAAAUAUUUUUCAUUGUUUUGGAGCCAUUUCUCAUUUGCAGAACUACUGACAUUUGGGGAGGGAUAACUGUCUGCUGUGGGACUGUCCUGUGCUCUGAGAUGGUCAGCAGCAUCCCUGGCCUGGACCCACUGGAUGCCAGUAGCAUCCCCCACCCCAUGUUGUGACAACCAAAAAUGCCUCUGGACGUUCCAAAUGUCCCCCACUGGACAGAAUUGUCCCCAUCGAGAACGACUAGAUUUGAGGAUUCAGAACUGGGCUUUCUGUGACCCCUGCUUUGGCAUCGUAAGCUGCCUCUUGCUCGGGUGCAGUUUUCUUUGUUCCUUUUCCAAAAGGCUGACCUCAUCGGGCUCAUUUGUUUGUUUCGUUGACUCACCCAGCUCUAACCACAAGCAGCCUUCCUACUUUGGGGGAUCCCAAGUGACUUAUCAUGGGACUUUGUAUGUAAAUUUAAAAGAUUCUUGUCUACUAAAUUGGAGGCAGAAACCCUCAACUUCUUUUUUAGCUCCAGUUAGUAAAUAACUUCCCAAAAGUGUUUAAGGGCAUGCCAAGCUGCCACUGGCGAUUUUAUUGUGAGCACCUUUGCAGUUCAAUUUUCUGAAAUCCCUGAGCAUUUCUCUCCCCUUAGUUUGGGUCUUGGCCCAGUGACUAGCAGAUGAUCUAAAGGCCAGGGCUUUCUGAAGUUGGCUAGUGCUUGGGGGAUUUUUCUUAAGGCCUCUGACGCGGGACUGGCGGGGGGAGGAAGGGAAAGGACCGGGCUGCCUGAGGGAGAGGAGGGGAGAAGCCAGGUCCCAGGAUGGACCAACCAAGGGUCACACCCCACUGCUGUGCAUCAGGCCCCUUGAGCAAGACCCAGCCUGUUUGCUGGCCCCUCUUGAGGCCACAGAGUGAGCCGCUGGCUUUGAGAUGGGGCUUCACAAAGCACAGUGUUGCUCUGAGGACUGACACAACCCUGAGGUCGGAGGCCACGCCUAGUGACAGCAGCCUUCUCCCUCCCGCCUUUGGUGAGUGGGGCUGUAACCCCAGGGGGAGGAGGCUGGGUUCUGUCUGAAUUCCGUCUCUGGUCCUCUCUUGGCUCCUUUCCCGCCUCACUGUCUCCUUAGGGAAAUGGGUUCUGGUUUCCCAGUAGGGGCUUCAGAUCUUAGCAUCCACCUUGUACUUGAAAACCUAGUUAUCAAAAGAUCAUUGUGCCCACAGCUCUCCUCUCAGGCAUUGCUGUUUCCAUUCUUCACUGGCCCCCAGAGGCUCGGCUUAAUUGGCUGCCUCCGAAGCAUGCGAUUGAACUUGAGCAGUGGUUGGGAUGCCCGGGCCCGCCCCUCCCCACGCAGCACCUGUGACCUUAUAUUCAGAUGGCGGUGAGCUCCCAUGCACACUGUCACCUUGCACUUGAUGGGCAUCAGGGACCAGGAAGUGAAAAGGCGGAGAAGCUAGAUCUGGCUGCCAAGGGCUCUGAGUCCUGAAUGGCAGGAAAAUAAGCAGUGAUGCUGCUGGACCCGAUGCCACUGGCCCCACCACCUGCCCACCAGCACCUGGUUAAUACAUCGAGCCAAGCCCUCUUAUAGACCGGACUGUACCGCGGGUGCUCAGAGAUCCUAUUGAAGGGCUGAGACAGAGGGAUGGGUGGGCCUAUGCAUGCUUAGAGCAGAGUCUCGCGGCGUCUGGGACUUGCCCUUUGCUCCCUCGGGCUGUGCUCGCUGCCUUUACCUGCGCUGGGCCUGGCAGAGCUCGGAGUCUUCCGGAUUCCAGGGUCUGCGGUAGCCAGUCUGUCAACUGCUGGAGUAAGCUGCUUUCCCAAAAUAGCCAUCCAGAGGGAAGGAGCAGCCCUGGAAUUCGACCCUGGUGAUCACCGUGAUGGCCUUGCCCAGGCUCCUGGUCCCACCUGGCCCCACCUCCCUGACCAUCUCCAAGGAGCUAUUGGUGGAUGUGGGGGCCAGGGUUUUUCCUCUCUCUCUCUCUCUCCUUCCUUCCUCUUCCCUUUGUUCUUUCUUUCCACCAGCUUUAGGUUUACAAUCCAAGUGACUCAGGAGAGAUGUUCCAGUGCCUGACUGGCUGGGGAGGGGCAGGUCACGGUGGGAGCAGGGAGGGGAGGGGCCCUGUGUGCCAGCACCUCUCUGCAGGUGACUGCACAUCCAUGGAGGGGCCGAGGCGCUGGCUGUGAGUCGGGCCACUGGCAGCGGUGCCAGACCUGGAGGUGGCAGCAGGCUUGACAGGUCCGACAGGUGGAGCCAGCCCUGCGGCUGCGAGGCCACAGUUGAAGGUCUCAUCCCGGGUCCUCCCUCAGCCCACAAAGCAGGUAACCCACUUUUCAUUUUUUCUGCUGGUUUAGUCUGUGGUCAACUUCAGGGAACACUUACCACUUGAGGAGAAGGCUUUUGGGAUUAGCGAGGAAAGUCGUGGAUUUGUUGAGAGAGUUUUGUGUACAAAAUCUGACCUUGGCGUUAGAGAAACAUUUCUAAGUGUCUGGUCCUUUGGUCUGAAAAGUAAGUUUCUUACGGAGCCUGGAUGCUUAAUGGCAAAUGUAAGACAAGGUCCAGAAACGGCGAGAUUGUUUUUGUAACUGCAAAUGGCACACCGUGGAAGGCUUGGCUGUGGUUAGGUGGACUGUUACGUUUCCAUAAGGAGGGGGUGGGGGGUGCCGCCUCCGCUCAGCACCAGGGCUCGGCUGUAUCGGGGCAGCUCCCUCAAGCCCUACUCGGAGAAGCACGGGCAGUGCUGGGCUUCCUCCAAAACUCAAAUUUAUAUUACAGCCCCUUGGGCUGGAUUGUAUUUUGAAAUUGUUUGAAGUUUUGAAAUCACCUCUCCUGUUAAGACUGGACUUCUGAACACCAGGCUCCAGCAUCUUCAUUCGCGCUGUGUUUAGCCAGUGAAUGUGCCCUUAGCCCUCCUUUUGGGGGAUUUCUGGCCUGAGGACAGGACGGGAAGGAGCCCAGGUCUGAAGAGCCAAGCCAGGACUCCCCGCCUGAAGCAAGCACUGGUUUUGUCUUAUUUGAUGUUGUUGAGGAUGUGUUCACUGUCUUCCUCUCGACAGUCCAGUCGUGUUCUCUCCUACCUGCUGCCGCUGUGGGGUGUCCGCCGGAUGCUCACUGGGAAGAGGGCCCCCCCUGGGAGUGGGAGGCUGAGAGCAGACAGCACAGCUGUCUAAAGCUGCCCUUGCACCUUAUACUUUGUGGGGAGAGGACUGGGAAGCUGUUUCUGCUGUGGCUGAACGUUUUGUGACAGAAACGUUGUUUUUCUUAAGUGGUUUGCUUUUUUUUUUUUUUUAAAUUCCAAGGUAAUUUCUCUUGCUCAAAUUGCUUAAAUUAUAGGAUAUAUCGUUAGGAUUCCUUCCUCUGCAAGUAAGAGAAAACCCCACUCGAAACGAUAUAAGUAAUCAGAACGUUAAAAAUGUUAUAAAACGUAAGCCCAGAGAUCGGGCACCUGUGAUGGGGAAUAUCCAGCGGCCCAGCCAUGCCAAGGAGUAAGCUCUCCGCAUUUCCGCUCUGCCAUCCUCCACCUACUGACUUCAUCUCCCGCCAGCUCCCGUCCGGCUCUUCCUGGGGGUCUCUUGUGAGUGAGGAAACCUUUCCCAAAGCCCCUGCUCACUUUCCUACAAAUCUCAUUGGCCAGAAUUAUGCCUUGUGCCCAGCCCCAGCCAAUCAGAGGCACCAGAAGGGUGUGGGGAUGGAAUUCAUGAGGCACAUAACUAGGGAGAGGGGAGUGGAUCACCCGAACCAAAUCGGGGCCUCCGAGCUGGAGAAGACGGGGUGUGAAUUUGGGGCAGGCAACCAACAGUAUCUGCUACAGUGGAAAAUUUAAAUUUAUUCAGAUUUCUAACUGACUUGGGGUAAGACAGUAACUCUUACUCCUAAAAUACGUGUACUUUAUACUCAAUUCUUUUUCUCUUUUUUUAAAGAUUGGCACCUGAGCUAACAUCUGUUGCCAGUCUU